GCUGCACCUGGCAUUCUUUAAUAACAGAUAUUCCCUGAAUCUUCCCAGACUCAGACCCCAUGACUCCUUUCACUGUCCAGAAGAUGAAAGGGGUUCAGGACAAGGCUACCCCUGAACCCAGAAAAUUCCAGGGUACCUGGUUUGCUUUUUCAGCAGAACUAAUCUGGAGGGGUUUCAGCUUUUGAAUAAUUUUAAACCAAUAUGAAUGGAGGGAGGAAAUCUGGAGAACUUGGAAGGAGAUGGUGUUGCAUCCAAGAAUAAUU
rnacentral:lncRNA from 1 species